AUCCAGAAGACGAGUCCCAAAUAGGACGAAACGCUCGUCCCGGAU
rnacentral:hammerhead_ribozyme from 1 species